UCCCUGAUGGUCCAAUGGUUAAGACUCUGCACUUCCAGUGCAGGGUGCCUGGGUUCAAUCCCUGAUCAGGGAA
rnacentral:tRNA from 1 species